CUUUUUUCUUGGUGAAGCUUUCCUCUGCAAAUCUAGGAUCUUCUGAUACAGCCAUUUUAUUCAGAAGUCUCAUCUAUUACGAAAUAUGCAGCAGAAGCCAUGAGAAAACCUAUAUGUUACUGAACAUCUUCUAAUGUCCUGACUUUGUUUUGCUCUGCACUGUGCAGAAUUAAAAUUACUUGUGACCUCAAGUGCACCCUUGAUAUUUGUCAGUGCUGGAGAAAAGAACCGUGGCCCUUGGAAUGUGUUCUGGAUCCUCUGUGUAGAGCUGUGCUGCAUUAAAUCACUUAAGAUUAGCACUGUGAUAGCUUUUGUGACAUUUCAUCUGCCUACGUUAUGAGAUUCCUCCAUACAGCAAUCCUCAAGGAUUCUUUCAUCAACUGAAUUACAUUGCCACAUCAUGUCUGCGCUGUUUUGACCAUCACAGUUGUUCUAUUUAUAUUUUUCUUUUAAUGUGAUUGAUGCAGAUUCCCCAAAUCAUAUUGCAAAUAGGUGUCAUAAUUUAUGUUUCUGAUGAUAGAGAUCAAUGGUGCAGCAAAAAUUAUGCUAAAAAGUAUCCAGCUAAUAAAUUUCCCUGUUCACAUAUUAUACGUGUCCUCAGUCAAGGAUGCUUGUACGUUUUAGAUUUGAAGAUGUUGAUGACUUCUCAGGCAGCCAAAUUUACAUAAGAUUAUAAAAAUUUAUGUAAGAUCAUUAAACUUACUUGAAAUUAUUAUCACACGUAGGCCAUCUAAUUCCAUGAAGUCAAUGCUCCCUUGAGCCAAAAAGUGUGAUUCUGCUCAUGCCAUUUUUCUUAGAUCUGUUGUUCAACAAAUUUUAUAUCAUACAUACUCUACAAUGAAGAAAAGUCAGACUGAUUUUUCUGCUUAGUCCCUUUAUCUUCAUCAGUCAAAGAGAUCAGAAUAACUGGCUUGUACCUUCCCAAGCAAUCCUCAGAGAAGGAAUGCCCUGAUGUCUAUCAUACAAUAACUGAUUUCAUUCCCUUGCUCACAGGUGGAAACUGCUAACUAACAACUUUAAAAUCUUUCUCCUAGGCUCAAGUAGAAUGUUGGGUAUUUUCUGACAAACUUGUGUAAAACAUCUGCUUUGCCACUCCCAAUUUGUUAGCUUUCACAACUGCAUACUCAGUGAUAUUGAAAGAUGUUUGUCACAGGUAAUUAACUUAACUUUACUAUAUACCAGUUAUAUGCUUUAACGUGUAUUUUUUUUAAGCUUUAAAAAUAAUAGUUGAUAUGCUUUUCUCAUUUUGAAACCUUUUUAACCAGGAACAUGUUAAAGACACACAGGCUUUGAUCUUGCACAGUCUUCAGCUCUCUAAACUUAAGUUGGUGAGAAUUAAAUAUUCUUCACUGUACAAAUUCAAUCCUCAAAUAUGUUUAUAGCAAUGCCUUAAUUCUGCUCUGGUGAAUUACUGUGAUUUCACAACUAGUAAUUUAAAAAGCUAUUUUCAUGGAACUGUGAAAUUAGUUGUUUUGCCUGAGUUUAUCAUAUAAAGAUCAAUGUCACAAGGGCCUUAAUUGUUGGAAAUCUUGAAAAUUACAUGAUGAUCUGAAGCAAUUAGGCCAGCUUCCACUUGAAAGUCAGAUUCUGCAUUCUCGUAAUAGUUAAUGCAUCAACAUUUUCUUCCCUAAAUAAUGCUUACUUUGAUACUCUUUCUGCUGUACUCUGUGGAAUUGUUACUGCCUGUAUAUUGUACCAGGUAAUAAAUAUUCCAUGUUUUUUGUUA